rnacentral:lncRNA from 1 species
AAUCCCUAUUUUUAUGUUUUUGCCGAUUGUUAUUGUAUUUUAGGUUUAUUGUUGUUAAUGAAGUUGUUGAUUAUAUUGUUUAAAUUAAUUAGUUUGUGAUUAUUGUAAUUGUGCUCUAAGUGUUCGAUAAAAUGGCUAACCGAACAAUUUUUUAAUUUUUUGUUGUUUAGAUAUGGAAAACGAUGUUGGGAGAAGAAGACAUGGUAUGAAGAGAAAUACCCAUAGUUCAUCAUGUAGAGAAGAUGCAGUAAAUGUUUCUCCUCCUCGAAAAAGGGGUUGACCUAGGGAAAAUCAACAUGAACAUGAUGCUUCAGCUUCACAAGAACAUGAACAAGCUAAGUAUGUCGACAAUGAGGAAGAGUGGCAUGAGAUACCACAUGAACCACAUUACCAACCACAAUUGGAAGAACAAGCCACUAGGUUUGGUCUUGGUGAGUGGUUUAGGUAGU